GUCUUUACUUUAGCUGGCCAUGAAGGUGCUUCUUCCUUUCAAUGUUUCAUUUUACCUUUCUCAAUGUUAAAUCACUACUUGUGAUGCUUGUGUAAGUUAUUGCUGCCAAUAUGGUGAGAACAGACCGGUCCUUGUCUGGAACACAUCUUGUUUGUGAUGUUAGCAGGGAUCAAGAAGCUUGUUCUCAGGUAUUGUUCACCAAAUGUGAAGUUGAAGGUCAACGGGAUGUUCGUGGCACCUGCUCGGCCUUGAGGUCGGUUACGGUUUACUUGUGUAGACUCCAAUCUGUUUUAGGUUUAGUUCGUGGAAUUCUAGCCCGCGGAUUGGUCAGGACUAUCUUGAAGACUCUGUUAUCUCAUUCCAAUAGGGUUGUUCCGAUUACUUUUGUUUUAUUGUAUUUAAAAUUCAGUUUUACUCAAGUCUUAGAAGGUCUUGUACUAGUCCAAAUCAGAUUUUGGGAAAAUGUUGUAAAGACUUGUAUACAUUUUAUAUUCUAUUAAUGGGAAA